UACGUAGGGGGCAAGCGUUGUCCGGAUUUAUUGGGCGUAAAGAGCGUGUAGGCGGCCUGGAAGGUCAGCUGUGAAAGUCGGGGGCUCAACCCUCGAAUGCCGGUGGAUACUGUCGGGCUAGAGUGCGGAAGAGGCGAGUGGAAUUCCUGGUGAUAGCGGUGAAAUGCGCAGAUAUCAGGAAGAACACCCGUGGCGAAGGCGGCUCUCUGGGACGGUACUGGACGCUGAGACGCGAAAGCGUGGGAGCGAACAGG
rnacentral:rRNA from 1 species